GGAGAGAUGGCUAAGUGGAUUAAGGAGUCGGAUUGCUAAUCCGUGGUGCAAGCUAUUUGUACAGGGGGUUCGAAUCCCUCUCUCUCCG
rnacentral:tRNA from 1 species